rnacentral:rRNA from 1 species
GGGGAAUAUUACACAAUGGGGGAAACCCUGAUGCAGCGACGCCGCGUGAGCGAAGAAGUAUUUCGGUAUGUAAAGCUCUAUCAGCAGGGAAGAAAAUGACGGUACCUGACUAAGAAGCCCCGGCUAACUACGUGCCAGCAGCCGCGGUAAUACGUAGGGGGCAAGCGUUAUCCGGAUUUACUGGGUGUAAAGGGAGCGUAGACGGCUCUGCAAGUCUGGAGUGAAAACCCGGGGCUCAACCCUGGGACUGCUUUGGAAACUGUGGAGCUUGAUGUACCGGAGGGGUAAGCGGAAUUCCUAGUGUAGCGGUGAAAUGCGUAGAUAUUAGGAGGAACACCAGUGGCGAAAGCGGCUUUCUGGACGACAACUGACGCUGAGGCGCGAAAGCCAGGGGAGCAAACG